rnacentral:rRNA from 1 species
UAGGGAAUCUUCCGCAAUGGGCGAAAGCCUGACGGAGCAACGCCGCGUGAGUGAUGAAGGUCUUCGGAUCGUAAAACUCUGUUAUUAGGGAAGAACAAAUGUGUAAGUAACUAUGCACGUCUUGACGGUACCUAAUCAGAAAGCCACGGCUAACUACGUGCCAGCAGCCGCGGUAAUACGUAGGUGGCAAGCGUUAUCCGGAAUUAUUGGGCGUAAAGCGCGCGUAGGCGGUUUUUUAAGUCUGAUGUGAAAGCCCACGGCUCAACCGUGGAGGGUCAUUGGAAACUGGAAAACUUGAGUGCAGAAGAGGAAAGUGGAAUUCCAUGUGUAGCGGUGAAAUGCGCAGAGAUAUGGAGGAACACCAGUGGCGAAGGCGACUUUCUAGUCUGUAACUGACGCUGAUGUGCGAAAGCGUGGGGAUCAAACAGG